CCUACGGGAGGCAGCAGUGGGGAAUCUUGGGCAAUGGGCGAAAGCCUGACCCAGCAACGCCGCGUGAAGGAAGAAGGCUUUCGGGUUGUAAACUUCUUUUGACAGGGCAGAGCAGAAGACGGUACCUGUCGAAUAAGCCACGGCUAACUACGUUCCAGCGGCCGCGGUAAUACGUAGGUGGCAAGCGUUGUCCGGAUUUACUGGGUGUAAGGGGCGUGUAGCGGGGCUGACAAGUCAGAUGGGAAAUCCGGGGGCUCAACCCCCGAUAUGCGUUUGAAACUGUUGGUCUUGAGGAUCGGAGAGGAAAGCGGAAUUCCUAGUGUAGCGGUGGAAUGCGUAGAUAUUAGGAGGAACACCAGUGGCGAAGGCGGCCUGCUGGACGACAACUGACGGUGAGGCGCGAAAGCGUGGGGAGCAAACAGGAUUAGAUACCCCUGUAGUC
rnacentral:rRNA from 1 species